CUGACGGACGGACGGACUGACGGGCGGGCGGACGGACGGACGGAUUGACUGACUGUCGGACUGGCGGACUGGCAGGCUGGUGGACUUGCCGGCUGACGGGCUGAUGGGCUGAUUGGCUGACGGACUGAAAAACAGACUCAUUUAUUUCAAGUGACUGAGUUACUCAAUUACUUAUGCACUCAUUUACUUAAUACUACAUGGAUUAAAACACUUCUUCUAUCACAUUAUUGUUAGAUUUCUGCAUAAUAACAGGCUGACUGUGAUAUCAAGCGGCACUUUUACCAAAUUUAGCCAACUGAGAUAUCUGAUGAUUUCCGAUAAUCCUAUAACAGCAAUGGAACCAAAUGCAAUCAGAAUUCUACAUACAACGAUUGACAUAUUCAUGCUACGAACGAAGUUGAAACGAUUCUCCUUUGAGUCGCUUAGUAGACCGAGCAGUAAAGUUCUAAAUUCAAUCCUGUAACGUAUAUAGUUUUUAUGAACAUGGACGCAUAGGUCACCCAUAAACACAUAAAUUAACAUUUCCACCUUUGUAUCCCAAGCUACACAUAUCCUCUCUUUGUUUUUUUGUAAUGUUUAGCUCAAGCCAAUCUCGUUCCCAGAG